GGGCGCGUAGCGAAAUUGGAUAUCGCACUGGUCUUCGAAACCAGGGAUUGCGGGUUCGAGCCCCGUCGUGCUCA